UACUUUGGCAGAAUAGUGUAAUGAAUUUAGAAUUCAUUUAUGUAAAUAUUUUUUACAGGUAAUAC
rnacentral:tRNA from 1 species